rnacentral:lncRNA from 1 species
ACAAGAUGAGUAACAGAAGUCAUAACAUUUUAAUAGAAUUGAUAGAAGUGAUAGUAGUGGCUAGCUCCUGCCUCCUAAAUUCCUUUUUCUAAGCCAACAUAAUCUAGAAGAUAAUACUAUUACAGUAAAAAAAUUUACUACUAAAACAAACUACACUUGCAAGAAGCACUUACUAAUAGUAUAAUUAACAAUCAGUUACAUAGUAGCAUCCGUUACUGUCUCGAUGAAAGACGAUGCUUCAUUUGUAACUCCUUGUGUUGUGAUAAAUAUCACUACACGUAAUACACAACCUUGAGCCUAGCUGGAUCUUAAAACUUGAAUUCUUCUGCCAUAGUCAGUUUAACACAAAUAAGAACAAAAUAGCAUAUUAAAAGUUACUUAAAAUUCAGAAGCAAAAAUAAAAUUCCAUGAAAGUUAUUAUGCACAACCUUUAAUAAAAUCUAUACUUGUCGCAACCUUUAAUAAAAUUCCAUGAAAGUUGUUAUAAAAACUGGUCAUGCAAAUCCAUUAAAACAAUUGAUUAACUUAAUUUUUCACCAUGCGCACAUUUGAACCUAAAAUUACAAGAAUUUGCUAUAAACUUCAAAGAGAGCAAACACACCAUAAGAUGGGAUAUUCUUUGAUCUAAACUGAAUAAAUUUGAUUUGGAAGUGAUAAAUUCAUCAUCCAAAAUGAGCCAAAUUAACCUCCAAUUUCGAUUUUAAAGAACCCAACUUUAAAUAGGUCAAAACCCAAGGCAUUGAGAGAUCAAUUUCCAUUUUUAACUAUGCAUAAUAAAUAGAAAAAAAGCCAAUUAAUCAAGGAACAAUAAGGUGCAACAGAUUUAGUUUUCAAAAUCAACCAAUUUAUUUUUGUCUUUACCUUUUUCACCAGAGCAAUGAUGAGCGGUGGAUUUCUUCAAAACUAUAAUGAUUUUGGGAAAUUAAAUAACUAGUUUCAACAUUACCCUCUAGAAAACUUCAAAAUAAUUCAGGAGUUUCUUGUCAUUCUAUUAAUUAGACAAUUUUUCCCUUUUUAUGCAAAAAGCAAGAUAGAAUCAACAAUAAAAGAAUACAAAUGCAAAAUAAAGAUUUGUUACCGAGGCCAAUUUCUUGUCAUUGCCCAGAAGCCGCCGGAGUUGCCGCAACUAGCCCUCAAGUUUGUGCUAGUCGUGGAUCUCGAUCUGCGGCAUCCUGCCACGCGUCGGCAUUACCACUGCUUCCGUAGGUCUUCGCAUGGCUUGAAGUUUUUCCAAUCGAAUAAUUGCUUUUGUUAGUCUGUGGCUUCUUGGAUAAUUGCUUUUGUUUUCUAAAUUAUUUUUAUUUUCUUUCCUAAAUAAUAAUAAUAAUAAGAAUAAACAUUUGAUAUUUCAAAUUAGGUAGCUGGAUUCUGUAUUAAAU